rnacentral:rRNA from 1 species
AUUGAACGCUGGCGGCAUGCCUUACACAUGCAAGUCGAACGGCAGCGGGGGAGAAGCUUGCUUUUCCUGCCGGCGAGUGGCGAACGGGUGAGUAAUACAUCGGAACGUGCCCUGUAGUGGGGGAUAACUAGUCGAAAGAUUAGCUAAUACCGCAUACGACCUGAGGGUGAAAGUGGGGGAUCGCAAGACCUCGCGCGAUUGGAGGGGCCGAAAUCAGAUUAGCUAGUUGGUGGGGUAAAGGCCAACCAAGGCGACGAUCUGUAGCUGGUUUGAGAGGACGACCAGCCACACUGGAACUGAGACACGGUCCAGACUCCUACGGGAGGCAGCAGUGGGGAAUUUUGGACAAUGGGCGCAAGCCUGAUCCAGCAAUGCCGCGUGCAGGAUGAAGGCCUUCGGGUUGUAAACUGCUUUUGUACGGAACGAAACGGCCCUUUCUAAUACAGGGGGCUAAUGACGGUACCGUAAGAAUAAGCACCGGCUAACUACGUGCCAGCAGCCGCGGUAA